rnacentral:rRNA from 1 species
UGCCAGCCGCCGCGGUAAUACGGAGGGUGCAAGCGUUGCUCGGAAUCACUGGGCGUAAAGCGAACGCAGGCGGACCAGUAAGUCGGGUGUGAAAUCCCGGGGCUCAACCCCGGAACUGCAUUCGAAACUGUUGGUCUCGAGUACGGGAGAGGGAAGCGGAAUUCCUGGUGUAGAGGUGAAAUUCGUAGAUAUCAGGAGGAACACCUGUGGCGAAAGCGGCUUCCUGGCCCGAUACUGACGCUCAUGUUCGAAAGCGUGGGGAGCAAACAGGAUUAGAUA